rnacentral:rRNA from 1 species
AACGAACGCUGGCGGCAGGCCUAACACAUGCAAGCCGAGCGAAGCCUUCGGGCUUAGCGGCGGACGGGUGAGUAACGCGUGGGAACGUGCCCUUUGGUACGGAAUAGCCCCGGGAAACUGGGAGUAAUACCGUAUGUGGUCGAGAGACGAAAGAUUUAUCGCCAAAGGAUCGGCCCGCGUUGGAUUAGGUAGUUGGUGGGGUAAUGGCCUACCAAGCCGACAAUCCAUAGCUGGUUUGAGAGGAUGAUCAGCCACACUGGGACUGAGACACGGCCCAGACUCCUACGGGAGGCAGCAGUGGGGAAUCUUAGACAAUGGGGGAAACCCUGAUCUAGCCAUGCCGCGUGAUCGAUGAAGGCCUUAGGGUUGUAAAGAUCUUUCAGUGGGGAAGAUAAUGACUGUACCCACAGAAGAAGCCCCGGCUAACUCCGUGCCAGCCGCCGCAGUAAGAC